rnacentral:rRNA from 1 species
CAGUCGCCGCGGGAAUACGGAGGGUGCAAGCGUUAAUCGGAAUUACUGGGCGUAAAGCGCACGCAGGCGGUCUGUCAAGUCAGAUGUGAAAUCCCCGGGCUCAACCUGGGAAUGGCGAUAGAGACUGCAAGGCUAGAAUCUGGCAGAGGGGGGUAGAAUUCCAUGUGUAGCAGUGAAAUGCGUAGAUAUGUGGAGGAAUACCGAUGGCGAAGGCAGCCCCCUGGGAUAACACUGACGCUCAUGCACGAAAGCGUGGGGAGCAAACAGGAUUAGAUACCCCCGUAGUCCCUGUCUCUUAUAC